GCCCGGUUAGCUCAAUCGGUAGAGCGUGAGACUCUUAAUCUCAAGGUUGCGGGUGAGUAACUAAAAGUAAAAGCAAAGGAAAAAUCGAAAAAUACUAACCCUAACAGGUUCGACCCCCGCAUCGGGCU